rnacentral:lncRNA from 1 species
CUCCACGGUAUUAGCUUUCUACUGCUGUGUAACAAAUCACCACAACUUAAUAGCUUAAAAUAGCACACAUUGGUUACCUCACAGUUCCUGUGGAUUUAAAGUCCAGACAUGGCCUUAGGUGAGUCCUCUGUAAGCUGCAAUCCAGGUGCCAGCCAGGAUUGAAUUCUCACAUGCAGGCUUGACUGGGGAAAGAUCUAGUUUUAAGCUCACUCAGGUUAAUAGAGUUCAUUUCCUUAUAGCUGUAGGAUUUGUGGCAGCUUGUUCUUCAAAGCUUGUGAGCACACCAAGAUUCUAGACUGAGUCAGCUGGUGAUAUGGAGUCUUCUAUGACAUCAUAUAAUCCUAUUACCUUUGUCAUAUUCUAUUGGUUAGAUGCAAGUCACAGGUCCUACACACACUGAAGAGGAGGGUGCAAUAAGAGUAUAAUGCCAGAAACAGGGAUCAUGUAGUAUCACCUUAGGUUCAAUAUGUCACCACCACUGUCCUUACAUUCUCUUAGAUUCCCAAUUUUCUCAUCAGUGUUACCAGGAUAUGACAGAAGGAUGGUCAGACACCUUUCAUGAGUUCAGGCAGCACCACUUCUAAUGAGGACUAUUAUGAAAUAGCUUCUGUGACAAUGGAAAGGGAACUUCCUUCAGGCCAAGAAAGAUGAUGCAAUGAGCACAACAGCCACUUUUAUCACAUGCAGAAGUUGCCAGCGCCAUGGGGUUCUUGUCACCAGGUAGUGCCACCUGAUGCAUGAUGGUAGUGUUUGGACGAACGGAGGGAAGAUGGCACAGUUCCGGGUUCUUCGCCGUCAACUUUCCCGCACCCGGGAGAGACAUGGGUCGACUGUGCAGGCGCAACCCAACCUCCAACGGAGAAGAACCGGAGCCCGCCUAGCCACGCCUACUGCCCCGCCCCCGCC